AUCAAAAAUAAGAUUUAAUCUUUUUAAACUUCAAGAGAAAAAAAAAAUUU
rnacentral:tRNA from 1 species